CAGUCGCCACGGUAAUACGAAGGGUGCAAGCGUUAAUCGGAAUUACUGGGCGUAAAGCGUGCGUAGGCGGUUUGUUAAGUCUGUUGUGAAAUCCCCGGGCUCAACCUGGGAAUGGCAAUGGAUACUGGCAAGCUAGAGUGUGUCAGAGGAUGGUGGAAUUCCCGGUGUAGCGGUGAAAUGCGUAGAGAUCGGGAGGAACAUCAGUGGCGAAGGCGGCCAUCUGGGACAACACUGACGCUGAGGCACGAAAGCGUGGGGAGCAAACAGGAUUAGAUACCCCGUAGUCCCUGUCUCUUAUACA
rnacentral:rRNA from 1 species